GACGAACGCUGGCGGCGUGCUUAAUACAUGCAAGUCAACGAUUUUUAAAAUAGCAAUAUUUUAAAAAUAGUGGCGCACGGGUGAGUAACACGUAGAUAAUCUGCCUUUAGGUCUGACAUAACUCGUCGAAAGACGGGCUAAUAUCAGAUAAAACAAUAACUUGGCAUCAAGUAAUUGUCAAAGCUUCGGCGCCCAAAGAUGAGUCUGCGGACCAUUAGGUAGUUGGUGGAUUAACAGCCCACCAAGCCAACGAUGGAUAGCUGGUCUGAGAGGAUGAUCAGCCACACUGGAACUGAGACACGGUCCAGACUCCUACGGAGGCAGCAGUAAGGAAUAUUGCUCAAUGGGAGAAAUCCUGAAGCAGCAACGCCGCGUGAAGGAAGAAGGGCUUCGACUUGUAAACUUCUGUAGAAGAGGAAAAAUACUCCGAUAUACUCGGAA
rnacentral:rRNA from 1 species